rnacentral:tRNA from 1 species
AGGAGCGUAGCUCAAUUUGGCAGAGCAGCUGAUUCCAAAUCAGCCGGUUGGGGGUUCGAGUCCCUCCGCUCCUG